GACGUAGGGGGCGAGCGUUGUCCGGAUUUAUUGGGCGUAAAGCGCGCGUAGGCGGCCCGUUAAGUCGGAUGUGAAAACCCGUGGCUCAACCACGGGCCUGCAUCCGAUACUGGCGGGCUCGAGGCAGGCAGGGGAGAUCGGAAUUCCUGGUGUAGCGGUGAAAUGCGCAGAUAUCAGGAAGAACACCCGUGGCUAAGGCGGCUCUCUAGUACGGUACUGACGCUGAGACGCGAAAGCGUGGGGAGCGAACAGG
rnacentral:rRNA from 1 species